rnacentral:rRNA from 1 species
GACGAACGCUGGCGGCGUGCUUAACACAUGCAAGUCGAACGGAAAGGCCCUGCUUUUGUGGGGUGCUCGAGUGGCGAACGGGUGAGUAACACGUGAGUAACCUGCCCUUGACUUUGGGAUAACUUCAGGAAACUGGGGCUAAUACCGGAUAGGAGCUCCUGCUGCAUGGUGGGGGUUGGAAAGUUUCGGCGGUUGGGGAUGGACUCGCGGCUUAUCAGCUUGUUGGUGGGGUAGUGGCUUACCAAGGCUUUGACGGGUAGCCGGCCUGAGAGGGUGACCGGCCACAUUGGGACUGAGAUACGGCCCAGACUCCUACGGGAGGCAGCAGUGGGGAAUAUUGCACAAUGGGCGGAAGCCUGAUGCAGCAACGCCGCGUGCGGGAUGACGGCCUUCGGGUUGUAAACCGCUUUCGCCUGUGACGAAGCGUGAGUGACGGUAAUGGGUAAAGAAGCACCGGCUAACUACGUGCCAGCAGCCGCGGUGAUACGUAGGGUGCGAGCGUUGUCCGGAUUUAUUGGGCGUAAAGGGCUCGUAGGUGGUUGAUCGCGUCGGAAGUGUAAUCUUGGGGCUUAACCCUGAGCGUGCUUUCGAUACGGGUUGACUUGAGGAAGGUAGGGGAGAAUGGAAUUCCUGGUGGAGCGGUGGAAUGCGCAGAUAUCAGGAGGAACACCAGUGGCGAAGGCGGUUCUCUGGGCCUUUCCUGACGCUGAGGAGCGAAAGCGUGGGGAGCGAACAGGCUUAGAUACCCUGGUAGUCCACGCUGUAAACGGUGGGUACUAGGUGUGGGGUCCAUUCCACGGGUUCCGUGCCGUAGCUAACGCUUUAAGUACCCCGCCUGGGGAGUACGGCCGCAAGGCUAAAACUCAAAGGAAUUGACGGGGCCCCGCACAAGCGGCGGAGCAUGCGGAUUAAUUCGAUGCAACGCGUAGAACCUUACCUGGGUUUGACAUGGAUCGGGAGCGCUCAGAGAUGGGUGUGCCUCUUUUGGGGUCGGUCCACAGGUGGUGCAUGGCUGCCGUCAGCUCGUGUCGUGAGAUGUUGGGUUAAGUCCCGCAACGAGCGCAACCCUUGUUCACUGUUGCCAGCACGUUAUGGUGGGGACUCAGUGGAGACCGCCGGGGUCAACUCGGAGGAAGGUGGGGAUGACGUCAAGUCAUCAUGCCCCUUAUGUCCAGGGCUUCACGCAUGCUACAAUGGCUGGUACAGAGAGUGGCGAGCCUGUGAGGGUGAGCGAAUCUCGGAAAGCCGGUCUCAGUUCGGAUUGGGGUCUGCAACUCGACCUCACGAAGUCGGAGUCGCUAGUAAUCGCAGAUCAGCAACGCUGCGGUGAAUACGUUCCCGGG